rnacentral:rRNA from 1 species
AUGGCUGGAGAUCUUGUAGUUCUAGGGGUUUGUUCUGUCCGCCGACAGACCUGGAGAAGAAAUCUGACGCCGGGUCUGGCCGUCGCCCAUUGCCAUCAGCUUUCAGGUUCCCACUGCAGGAGGAGUUUUGCUGGGUCUGGGUGCGGCCAGCAGGUCGGCUGCGCUGACCCGGAGAGGGCACAGGUGGGGGUUCGUCGGCGACCAGAUGCAUCUCCAACUCUGUCGGCACAAUCAACCGACGGGGUCAACCCGGAGGCCCAUGGUUGGACAAAAAGAUUACGCUUCCGCGGUGCAUCACCGGACCGGACACCAUGUCCUUCUAGGAUGAGUGCACUGGAGCAGUCAAUUCAAAAACCAGAACAGAUGUAUGGAGGUGGCAAUCAGCAAAGUUUAUCCGGACAGUGUGCACUGGUGGUGCAAAUGGCAUGUGCUGAAGAAGGCAAAGGAGCGUUUGGUCCCCUGUACAUGAAGAAGAGAGAGUUCCAAGCUGAAUUCUACAAAGUGGUGAACCACAUGUUAAAUGAAGAUGAGUUCGAGACAACAUGGGGUAUGCUUCUUAAUAAGUACAACCUGAAGAAGCACCCUUACAUGACCCAGAUCUACGAAAUAAGAAGAAAAUGGCCAAAAACAUACUUCAAGGAGUUUUUUUUUGCACCAAGAUGA